rnacentral:rRNA from 1 species
UACGUAGGGGGCAAGCGUUGUCCGGAAUCAUUGGGCGUAAAGAGCGUGUAGGCGGCCCGAUAAGUCCGCUGUGAAAGUCCAGGGCUCAACCCUGGAAUGCCGGUGGAUACUGUCGGGCUCGAAUCCGGAAGAGGUGAGUGGAAUUCCUGGUGUAGCGGUGAAAUGCGUAGAUAUCAGGAGGAACACCGGUGGCGAAGGCGCUCAUCUGGCCCAAUACUGACGCUGAGGCGCGAAAGCUAGGGGAGCAAACGGG